GAUGAACGCUGGCGGCGUGCCUAAUACAUGCAAGUAGAACGCUGAAGGAAGGAUCUUGCUCUUUCCGGAUGAGUUGCGAACGGGUGAGUAACGCGUAGGUAACCUUCCUUGUAGCGGGGGUUAACUAUUGGAAACGAUAGCUAAUACCGCAUAACAGUAUAUGUUGCAUGAUAUCUACUUAAAAGGUGCAAUUUCACCACUACCAGAUGGACCUGCGUUGUAUUAGCUAGUUCGUGAGGUAACUGCUCACCAAGUCGACGCUACAUAGCCGACCUGAGACGGUGAUCGGACUCAGUGGGCGUGAGCUACUGCUCAGCAUCCUACGGGACGCAGCAGUAGGGAAGCUUAGGCAAUGGACGGAAGUCUGACUGAGUAAAGCCGGGGGAGUGGAGAAGGUUUUCGGAAUGUAAAGAUCUGUCGCAAGAGAAGAACCAGUGUGGGUGUAGACAGUUCACCCUGUGACGGUAUCGUAUCAGAAGGGAACGGCUAGAUACGUU
rnacentral:rRNA from 1 species